AUUGAACGCUGGCGGCAUGCCUUACACAUGCAAGUCGAACGGUAACAGGUCUUCGGAUGCUGACGAGUGGCGAACGGGUGAGUAAUACAUCGGAACGUGCCUAGUAGUGGGGGAUAACUACUCGAAAGAGUGGCUAAUACCGCAUGAGAUCUACGGAGGAAAGCAGGGGAUCGCAAGACCUUGUGCUACUAGAGCGGCCGAUGGCAGAUUAGGUAGUUGGUGGGAUAAAAGCUUACCAAGCCGACGAUCUGUAGCUGGUCUGAGAGGACGAUCAGCCACACUGGGACUGAGACACGGCCCAGACUCCUACGGGAGGCAGCAGUGGGGAAUUUUGGACAAUGGGGGAAAGCCUGAUCCAGCAAUGCCGCGUGCAGGAUGAAGGCCUUCGGGUUGUAGACUGCUUUUGUACGGAACGAAAAGCCCCGGGUUAAUACCCUGGGGUAAUGACGGUACCGUAAGAAUAAGCACCGGCUAACUACGUGCCAGCAGCCGCCGUAA
rnacentral:rRNA from 1 species